rnacentral:rRNA from 1 species
UGGGGAAUAUUGGACAAUGGGCGAAAGCCUGAUCCAGCCAUGCCGCGUGUGUGAAGAAGGUCUUCGGAUUGUAAAGCACUUUAAGUUGGGAGGAAUGGCAGUAAGCGAAUACCUUGCUGUUUUGACGUUACCGACAGAAUAAGCACCGGCUAACUCUGUGCCAGCAGCCGCGGUAAUACAGAGGGUGCAAGCGUUAAUCGGAAUUACUGGGCGUCAAGCGCGCGUAGGUGGUUCGUUAAGUUGAAUGUGAAAGCCCCGGGCUCAACCUUGGAACUGCAUCCAAAACUGGCGAGCUAAAGUAGGGCAGAGGGUGGUGGAAUUUCCUGUGUAGCGGUGAAAUGCGUAGAUAUAGGAAGGAACACCAGUGGCGAAGGCGACCACCUGGGCUCAUACUGACACUGAGGUGCGAAAGCGUGGGGAGCAAACAGG